rnacentral:rRNA from 1 species
CCUAAGGUAGCGAAAUUCCUUGUCGGGUAAGUUCCGACCUGCACGAAUGGCGUAACGAUCUCCACACUGUCUCGGCCAGAGACUCGGUGAAAUUGAAGUCGCGGUGAAAAUGCCGUGUACCCGCAGAAAGACGGAAAGACCCUGUGCACCUUUACUAUAGCUUGACAUUGGGAUUUGAGCCUGCAUGUGUAGCAUAGGUGGGAGGCUGUGAACUCUGUACGCCAGUAUGGAGGGAGCCAUCGUUGAAAUACCACCCUUGUUUGUUCAGGUCCCUAACUCUUCGCCGUGAUCCGGUAAGAGGACAGUGUCUGGUGGGUAGUUUGACUGGGGCGGUCGCCUCCCAAAAUGUAACGGAGGCAUGCAAAGGUUCCCUCAGGCUGAUUGGAAACCAGCCGUCGAGUGCAAACGCAAAAGGGAGCUUGACUGCAAGAGAGACAUCUCGAGCAGGUACGAAAGUAGGUGUUAGUGAUCCGGUGAUCCCGAAUGGAAGGGUCAUCGCUCAUUGGAUAAAAGGUACGCCGGGGAUAACAGGCUGAUCGCAUCCAAGAGUUCACAUCGACGAUGCGGUUUGGCACCUCGAUGUCGGCUCAUCACAUCCUGGGGCUGAAGCAGGUCCCAAGGGUACGGCUGUUCGCCGUUUAAAGUGGUACGCGAGCUGGGUUUAAAACGUCGUGAGACAGUUUGGUCCCUAUCUUCUGUGGGCGUAGGAGAAUUGAAAGGGCCUGUCCCUAGUACGAGAGGACCGGGAUGGACACACCACUGGUGGACCUGUUGUCGUGCCAACGGCACAGCAGGGUAGCUAUGUGUGGAAGGGAUAACCGCUGAAAGCAUCUAAGCGGGAAGCCUGCCUUAAGAUAAGUUCUCCCUGACGCAAGUCCUGAAGGGCCGAGGUAGACGACCUCGUUGAUAGGCUGGAGGUGGAAGCCCUGUGAGGGGUGGAGCUGACCAGUACUAAUAGCCCGUGCGUCUUGUUUCU